CCUUCUCAGUUCAGGUGUGUUCAUCCAAAAACUGGCUACACCGGGUGGAAGAGGAGGGAGAAGGCCCCCAGUGUCUCUGAGCUGGUGAGCACAGGGGGUCAACAAGCAAUUGGCCCAGCCUGAGCUGCAAAGUAUAGCUAAGGGCCCUGCAGGCACAGUUCAUCUCCUAAAUCACCGAUUUCCUGAUAAAUCAAUGGCUACACAGACUAGGUUUUAAUGUGUGCAAAGCAGAAGACAGAUACCAAAGCCCUAUUUGCCCUUCCCAUCCAAAUACACCUUGUAUUUCCUGGUUCUGGACCUUGGUCAUGGGAACACAUCUGGUCUCACUAGGGAAAAAAAUAGAAGGAAACAUUAUUUUGAGGUCUCUAGGUUCUUUCCGUGAUGAAAGGGGUGCCUCCACAGCUGGUUCAGACAAGCUACAGCAGGUGAGGAGCAUCCUGGCUAACGCCCAGAGAUCUGUCACAUUCACUGCACCGUCCCAGGACUGCAGCUGCAGCAUGGCUUUGCCUUCACUUUUUUCUACCACUGAUGCAGAAGAGGCACGAGGCAACUGGCUCACAUGAGUCUUGAGGGGAAAACAGUCAUCCUCUCCAGCAUGCCACGGCUCUUGAAGAGACUUUUCAGCUGGAAGCCUCCAGAUGUUGACCAGUGAGACAGGGCAAGAGGCUGGAAGAUGCUGAGGGGGCUUGGCAAUAGCUCUGUGCAGCCCCAGCCUGCGAGCACUAAGCGCUGCGAGAGGCCGUGCUAUGCAUCCAGGAUUAUUGAUUACCCUCUCCUAAUCCCAUGAUUGAAUGCCCUGGGCAAAAAAAAAAAAAAAAAAAAAAAAAAAAAAAAGAUUCCUAUUAUAUAUAGAUAGAUAGCUAUUUAAAAUCAUUAACAGAGAUUUAUAUCUCUGAGCUAGUCUUCCAUUCUCUGGGGAAACCAGACAGCUGCAUAGUAAAAGACUGAAAGCCGCAAUAAAACGAAGAAAUGAGCUUCAAUAAAUCAUUAAGCUAAAGCUCAUAAUGUUUAUCUGUAAUGUCAUGUCCCCACAAUCUACAAAAGCAGAUGUGUAACUUUUUGUUUUUCUUUUAUCAACUAUUAAACUGUCAUGUAGCUAUUACAGAAGAUUAAAACUUCUUUUUAAAAGCCCUGAGCAUCAGGGGUCGCAGUUUCUUUUAAAGAAAGGGGUGCUUGCACGACCGUCCGUAUCAUCCAAGAGGAACUGGAGCUGGACCAGAGGUGAUGGUCCAGCAGAGGUCAGGCCGAAAGUUUUUUUCAGCAGAUUACUCAGGAGGCUGGGGCAGGAGGCUUUUGCUCACAGGUGAUGGAGCAAGGAGGAGCUGCAGCUGGAGAAGACGCUUCCCAGACACCUCCUCAGGUGGCUCCAUGAAGACCGCUGACAUUUUCCAGCCUUGCACUGUGAUGCUUGAUGGACACGGCCCCUCCACCUCUUCCUUCAGAGCCCCAGAGGGCUGGAGAUAUCAGACAAACCCUAAGGGUGUUUCAGGGAUCCACGGAUUUAUUUUUUUUGAGCCUUGUUUCCUUUUUUAGAAGAAGAACAGAGCAGGAAAUCUCCCUGCUCCCUCAGGCUUGACAUCCAAAAAUUAGCAUUUGUUUGUUUUACAGAACAGGACUGGCUCUAUUCAAUUUAGACCCAAUCUGUUAAUCUACAAAGGAAAGUAAAUAAAUACUGAAAUUAUGACUAAGGGGGAUUUCACGAGGCGUACACCUCGCUGUGGUUUGGGUUUUUUAGGUACUACUAAUGGAGCCCUGCAUUAUUCUGCUGUAUUUCCUGCUGGCACAACUGCAAAAUGCAGAGCCGCUGUGCUUCUUUUGUCUGCAGCUGAUGCUGUAAAGUGUAACUACAUGUUCGAUUCAGCCUGGGAGGGCUGCUCUUUGUAAGCUAAUUUGGAGCAUGAUUUCCAAAGCCCUGACCAUAUGAAUCUGCUAGCAAAUCUCCCUGCUGUUCCUGCAAGCCCUCGAUUUGCUGCCAUGUUCAAGUUCUCCAAGCGCACCAAAUUAACCAACUCCAGCCCGCACGACUCAGGUUCACAGAGGUUCAACCCCAGCUGAUUUAAGAGACAGAAUUGGUGCGUUUGCCUUUAAAAAAAAAAAAAAAAGAUAAAUAAUAGGGUCAGCAAACAUGCUGCACAAUAUUUAACGAGAAAAAGAUGGGAGCAUAACAGGCUUUGCAACCUAAAACUGCUGCUGAAGGCAACAAACAUGACAUGAUCAUUCU